rnacentral:rRNA from 1 species
GGAAUAUUGGUCAAUGGGCGGAAGCCUGAACCAGCCAUGCCGCGUGAAGGAUUGAGGCCCUAUGGGUCGUAAACUUCUUUUGUGGUGGAGCAAUAAGUGCUACGUGUAGCACGAUGAGAGUACAUCACGAAUAAGCAUCGGCUAACUCCGUGCCAGCAGCCGCGGUAAUACGGAGGAUGCAAGCGUUAUCCGGAUUUAUUGGGUUUAAAGGGUGCGUAGGCUGUUCGGAAAGUCAGGGGUGAAAGCCCGGCGCUUAACGCCGGAACUGCCUUUGAUACUUCCGAGCUGGAAUACGGAUGCCGUGGGAGGAAUGAGUAGUGUAGCGGUGAAAUGCAUAGAUAUUACUCAGAACACCGAUUGCGAAGGCAUCUCACGAAUCCGUCAUUGACGCUGAGGCACGAAAGCGUGGGGAUCAAACA